GAUGAACGCUGGCGGCGUGCCUAAUACAUGCAAGUCGAGCGAACGGACGAGAAGCUUGCUUUUCUGAUGUUAGCGGCGGACGGGUGAGUAACACGUGGAUAACCUACCUAUAAGACUGGGAUAACUUCGGGAAACCGGAGCUAAUACCGGAUAAUAUUUUGAACCGCAUGGUUCAAAAGUGAAAGACGGUCUUGCUGUCACUUAUAGAUGGAUCCGCGCUGCAUUAGCUAGUUGGUAAGGUAACGGCUUACCAAGGCAACGAUGCAUAGCCGACCUGAGAGGGUGAUCGGCCACACUGGAACUGAGACACGGUCCAGACUCCUACGGGAGGCAGCAGUAGGGAAUCUUCCGCAAUGGGCGAAAGCCUGACGGAGCAACGCCGCGUGAGUGAUGAAGGUCUUCGGAUCGUAAAACUCUGUUAUUAGGGAAGAACAUAUGUGUAAGUAACUGUGCACAUCUUGACGGUACCUAAUCAGAAAGCCACGGCUAACUACGUGCCAGCAGCCGCGGUAAUACGUAGGUGGCAAGCGUUAUCCGGAAUUAUUGGGCGUAAAGCGCGCGUAGGCGGUUUUUUAAGUCUGAUGUGAAAGCCCACGGCUCAACCGUGGAGGGUCAUUGGAAACUGGAAAACUUGAGUGCAGAAGAGGAAAGUGGAAUUCCAUGUGUAGCGGUGAAAUGCGCAGAGAUAUGGAGGAACACCAGUGGCGAAGGCGACUUUCUGGUCUGUAACUGACGCUGAUGUGCGAAAGCGUGGGGAUCAAACAGGAUUAGAUACCCUGGUAGUCCACGCCGUAAACGAUGAGUGCUAAGUGUUAGGGGGUUUCCGCCCCUUAGUGCUGCAGCUAACGCAUUAAGCACUCCGCCUGGGGAGUACGACCGCAAGGUUGAAACUCAAAGGAAUUGACGGGGACCCGCACAAGCGGUGGAGCAUGUGGUUUAAUUCGAAGCAACGCGAAGAACCUUACCAAAUCUUGACAUCCUUUGACAACUCUAGAGAUAGAGCCUUCCCCUUCGGGGGACAAAGUGACAGGUGGUGCAUGGUUGUCGUCAGCUCGUGUCGUGAGAUGUUGGGUUAAGUCCCGCAACGAGCGCAACCCUUAAGCUUAGUUGCCAUCAUUAAGUUGGGCACUCUAAGUUGACUGCCGGUGACAAACCGGAGGAAGGUGGGGAUGACGUCAAAUCAUCAUGCCCCUUAUGAUUUGGGCUACACACGUGCUACAAUGGACAAUACAAAGGGCAGCGAAACCGCGAGGUCAAGCAAAUCCCAUAAAGUUGUUCUCAGUUCGGAUUGUAGUCUGCAACUCGACUACAUGAAGCUGGAAUCGCUAGUAAUCGUAGAUCAGCAUGCUACGGUGAAUACGUUCCCGGGUCU
rnacentral:rRNA from 1 species